AACGAACGCUGGCGGCAUGCCUAACACAUGCAAGUCGAACGAGACCUUCGGGUCUAGUGGCGCACGGGUGCGUAACGCGUGGGAACCUGCCCUUAGGUUCGGAAUAACUCCCCGAAAGGGGUGCUAAUACCGGAUAAUGUCUUCGGACCAAAGAUUUAUCGCCUUUGGAUGGGCCCGCGUUGGAUUAGCUAGUUGGUAGGGUAAAAGCCUACCAAGGCGACGAUCCAUAGCUGGUCUGAGAGGAUGAUCAGCCACACUGGGACUGAGACACGGCCCAGACUCCUACGGGAGGCAGCAGUGGGGAAUAUUGGACAAGGGGCGAAAGCCUGAUCCAGCAAUGCCGCGUGAGUGAUGAAGGCCUAAGGGUUGUAAAGCUCUUUUACCCGGGAUGAUAAUGACAGUACCGGGAGAAUAAGCUCCGGCUAACUCCG
rnacentral:rRNA from 1 species